CGGGUGAGUAAUACAUCGGAACGUGCCCAGUAGUGGGGAUAACCCGGCGAAAGCCGGACUAAUACCGCAUACGACCUACGGGUGAAAGCAGGGGAUCGCAAGACCUUGCGCUAUCGGAGCGGCCGAUGUCAGAUUAGCUUGUUGGUGGGGUAAAAGCCCACCAAGGCGACGAUCUGCAGCUGGUCUGAGAGGACGACCAGCCACACUGGGACUGAGACACGGCCCAG
rnacentral:rRNA from 1 species